CAUAUCAAUAAGCGGAGGAAAAGAAACCAACAGGGAUUGCCUCAGUAACGGCGAGUGAAGCGGCAAAAGCUCAAAUUUGAAAUCUAGCACCUUCGGUGUUCGAGUUGUAAUUUGAAGAUGGUAACCUUGGGUUUGGCUCUUGUCUAUGUUCCUUGGAACAGGACGUCAUAGAGGGUGAGAAUCCCGUCUGAUGAGAUGCCCAUUCCUAUGUAAGGUGCUAUCGAAGAGUCGAGUUGUUUGGGAAUGCAGCUCUAAGUGGGUGGUAAAUUCCAUCUAAAGCUAAAUAUUGGCGAGAGACCGAUAGCGAACAAGUACAGUGAUGGAAAGAUGAAAAGAACUUUGAAAAGAGAGUGAAAAAGUACGUGAAAUUGUUGAAAGGGAAGGGCAUUAGAUCAGACUUGGUGUUUUACGAUUAUCUUCUCUUCUUGAGUUGUGCACUCGUAUUUCACUGGGCCAGCAUCGAUUCGGAUGGCAAGAUAAUGGCAGUUGAAUGUGGCUUCACUUCGGUGGAGUGUUAUAGCUUCUGCUGAUAUUGCCUGUCUGGAUCGAGGGCUGCGUCUUUUGACUAGGAUGCUGGCGUAAUGAUCUAAUGCCGCCCGUCUUGAAACACGGAC
rnacentral:rRNA from 1 species